rnacentral:rRNA from 1 species
UGGGGGAUAUUGCACAAUGGGGGAAACCCUGAUGCAGCGACGCCGCGUGGGUGAAGAAGUAUUUCGGUAUGUAAAGCCCUAUCAGCAGGGAAGAAGAUGACAGUACCUGACUAAGAAGCCCCGGCUAACUACGUGCCAGCAGCCGCGGUAAUACGUAGGGGGCAAGCGUUAUCCGGAUUUACUGGGUGUAAAGGGAGCGUAGACGGUUAUGUAAGUCUGAAGUGAAAGCCCGGGGCCCAACCCCGGGACUGCUUUGGAAACUGUGUAGCUGGAGUACAGGAGGGGCAGGCGGAAUUCCUGGUGUAGCGGUGAAAUGCGUAGAUAUCAGGAGGAACACCGGCGGCGAAGGCGGCCUGCUGGACUGAAACUGACGUUGAGGCUCGAAAGCGUGGGGAGCAAACAGGAUUAGAUACCC